AUGUAUGUACAUCUGAUCAUGCAUAUUGAUAUGUGAAAGUUUGGCUACAUUUUAGCUGUGACGAAACCGUGACUGACUGCAUGGCGUUACUUUAAAUACAUAAUUCUAUCUUUGACAUCGCUUGACACGUACGCUUGACAGACGAGAGAUAAGCCGUUCAUUUGCAGAACUUACGAAGUAGAGGGCUUGCCCUCGAGGAAGGAUAAAGGAUGAUUCCUUACUUUGGUUUAUUGUUGCUGCUUAAAUCACUGGCUGCUGAAGGUAUUUUUAAGAUAUGGAGUCAGCAAAACAAAAACUAUUGUUGUA